CUAGUAUGAGAGGACCGGGAAGGACGCACCUCUGGUGUACCAGUUAUCGUGCCUACGGUAAACGCUGGGUAGCCAAGUGCGGAGAGGAUAACUGCUGAAAGCAUAUAAGUAGUAAGCCCACCCCAAGAUGAUUGCUCUCUCCUCUGACUUCCCUAGAGCAUCCGGUAUCACAGCCGAGACAGCGACGGGUUCUCCACCCAU
rnacentral:rRNA from 1 species